AGCAGCAUGGUCUAGUGGAAAGAACACAGGACUGGGAAUCAUGAGAUCUGGGUUCUAGUCCUGGCUUUGCCA
rnacentral:tRNA from 1 species